AGUUUGAUCAUGGCUCAGAAUGAACGCUGGUGGCGUGCUUAACACAUGCAAGUCGAGCGAGAAAGUUCCUUCGGGAACGAGUAAAGCGGCGGACGGGUGAGUAACACGUGAGAAUCUACCCUUUAGUGAAGAAUAGCUUCGGGAAACUGAAGUUAAUGCUGCAUAAGUCCCUUCGGGGAGAAAGAUGGCCUCUUUGCUAUCGCUAAAGGAUGAGCUUGCGGACUAUUAGCUAGUUGGUAGGGUAAAGGCCUACCAAGGCGAUGAUGGAUAGCCGACCUGAGAGGGUGAACGGCCUCAUUGGGACUGAGAUACGGCCCAGACUCCUACGGGAGGCAGCAGUGAGGAAUAUUGCGCAAUGGACGAAAGUCUGACGCAGCGACGCCACGUGAAGGAUGAAGGUCUUCGGAUUGUAAACUUCUGUUAAGUGGGAAGAAAUGCCAAUGUCUAAUAAAUAUUGGAGAUGACGGUACCACUAGAGAAAGCACCGGCUAACUUCGUGCCAGCAGCCGCGGUAAUACGAGGGGUGCAAGCGUUAUUCGGAUUAACUGGGCGUAAAGGGUGUGUAGGUUGUAUAUUAAGUCCGUUGUUUAAUCCUUCAGCUUAACUGAAGGUUCGCGGUGGAAACUGAUAUGCUAGAGGAUGGAAGAGAGAAGUGGAAUUCUCGGAGUAGCGGUAAAAUGCGUAGAUCUCGAGAGGAACACCAAUGGCGAAGGCAGCUUCUUGGUCCAUUUCUGACACUGAAACACGAAAGCGUGGGUAGCAAACAGGAUUAGAUACCCUGGUAGUCCACGCUGUAAACGAUGAUCACUAGAUGUUGGUUUUGCUUAGCAAAGUCAGUAUCGCAGCUAACGCGUUAAGUGAUCCGCCUGGGAACUACGGUCGCAAGACUAAAACUCAAAGGAAUUGACGGGGAUCCGCACAAGCGGUGGAACAUGUGGUUUAAUUCGACAUUACGCGAGGAACCUUACCUGGGUUUGACAUGCAUUUGACAGUUGUAGAAAUACAAUCUUUCAAGUUUACUUGAACAAUUGCACAGGUGCUGCAUGGCUGUCGUCAGCUCGUGUCGUGAGAUGUCUGGUUAAGUCCUCUAACGAGCGCAACCCUUGCCAUUAGUUGCUAUCGAUUUAUCGAGCACUCUACUGGGACUGCCUGGGAAACCAGGAGGAAGGAGGGGAUGACGUCAAGUCCUCAUGGCCCUUAUAUCCAGGGCUACACACGUGUUACAAUGGCUGAUACAAAGAGGAGCUAAUCCGCAAGGACAAGCAAAUCUCAGAAAGUCAGUCUAAGUUCGGAUUGAGGUCUGCAAUUCGACCUCAUGAAGUUGAAAUCGCUAGUAAUCGCAUAUCAGAACGAUGCGGUGAAUACGUUCUCGGAUCUUGUACACACCGCCCGUCACACCACGAAAGCUGUUUGUACCCAAAAAUGCUUUAGUUAACCUGUAAGGGAGACGAGUACUCAAGGUAUGGGUAGUGAUUGGGGUGAAGUCGUAACAAGGUAACC
rnacentral:rRNA from 1 species